rnacentral:rRNA from 1 species
UUAACCGUAUAGGGGAGCCGGAGGGAAACCGAGUCUUAAUUGGGCGUUAAGUUGCAGGGUAUAGACCCGAAACCCGGUGAUCUAGCCAUGGGCAGGUUGAAGGUUGGGUAACACUAACUGGAGGACCGAACCGACUAAUGUUGAAAAAUUAGCGGAUGACCUGUGGCUGGGGGUGAAAGGCCAAUCAAACCGGGAGAUAGCUGGUUCUCCCCGAAAGCUAUUUAGGUAGCGCCUCGUGAAUUCAUCUCCGGGGGUAGAGCACUGUUUCGGCUAGGGGGCCAUCCCGGCUUACCAACCCGAUGCAAACUGCGAAUACCGGAGAAUGUUAUCACGGGAGACACACGGCGGGUGCUAACGUCCGUCGUGAAGAGGGAAACAACCCAGACCGCCAGCUAAGGUCCCAAAGUCAUGGUUAAGUGGGAAACGAUGUGGGAAGGCCCAGACAGCCAGGAUGUUGGCUUAGAAGCAGCCAUCAUUUAAAGAAAGCGUAAUAGCUCACUGGUCGAGUCGGCCUGCGCGGAAGAUGUAACGGGGCUAAACCAU